rnacentral:rRNA from 1 species
AUUGAACGCUGGCGGCAGGCCUAACACAUGCAAGUCGAGCGGAUGAAGGGAGCUUGCUCCUGGAUUCAGCGGCGGACGGGUGAGUAAUGCCUAGGAAUCUGCCUGGUAGUGGGGGAUAACGUCCGGAAACGGGCGCUAAUACCGCAUACGUCCUGAGGGAGAAAGUGGGGGAUCUUCGGACCUCACGCUAUCAGAUGAGCCUAGGUCGGAUUAGCUAGUUGGUGGGGUAAAGGCCUACCAAGGCGACGAUCCGUAACUGGUCUGAGAGGAUGAUCAGUCACACUGGAACUGAGACACGGUCCAGAAUCCUACGGGAGGCAGCAGUGGGGAAUAUUGGACAAUGGGCGAAAGCCUGAUCCAGCAAUGCCGCGUGUGUGAAGAAGGUCUUCGGAUUGUAAAGCACUUUAAGUUGGGAGGAAGGGCAGUAAGUUAAUACCUUGCUGUUUUGACGUUACCAACAGAAUAAGCACCGGCUAACUUCGUG